CAUUGUGGUACUUCUAAUACAGAAAUCAGAUAACAUUGUGCUGCUAAAAUGACUGCUUUUGUAUUAUGUUUGUAGGAUGUGAAUGUCUUCAGACUGGUGUGAGCACUGAGGAUGGAGAACCACAGCAGAUCCUGGGAAUGGUUCAGUGUCAUGGAUGAGACCCUCCAUCACUCCUCCUGCCCUUACUGCCUCAUCUGGACUGAUGUUGAUGUGAUUUCUUCAUCCUCAGGAUGAUCCCGUUGGAGCAACCUGGAGUAAAGUGUCUGGAUCAAGCACACACUGGUGGAGACGCUGCAGAGAUC